rnacentral:rRNA from 1 species
UUGGUGAGGUAACGGCUCACCAAGGCGACGAUGCGUAGCCGACCUGAGAGGGUGAUCGGCCACACUGGGACUGAGACACGGCCCAGACUCCUACGGGAGGCAGCAGUAGGGAAUCUUCCGCAAUGGACGAAAGUCUGACGGAGCAACGCCGCGUGAGUGAUGAAGGUUUUCGGAUCGUAAAGCUCUGUUGUUAGGGAAGAACAAGUGCAAGAGUAACUGCUUGCACCUUGACGGUACCUAACCAGAAAGCCACGGCUAACUACGUGCCAGCAGCCGCGGUAAUACGUAGGUGGCAAGCGUUGUCCGGAAUUAUUGGGCGUAAAGGGCUCGCAGGCGGUUUCUUAAGUCUGAUGUGAAAGCCCCCGGCUCAACCGGGGAGGGUCAUUG